rnacentral:rRNA from 1 species
AUUGAACGCUGGCGGCAGGCCUAACACAUGCAAGUCGAGCGGAUGAACGGAGCUUUCUCCUGGAUUCAGCGGCGGACGGGUGAGUAAAGCCUAGGAAUCUGCCUGGUAGCGGGUGAUAACGUCCGUAAACGGGUGCUAAUACCGCAUACGACCUGAGGGAGAAAGUGGGGGAUCUUCGGAGCUUACGCUAUCAGAUGAGCCUCGGUCGGAUUAGCUAGUUGGGGGGGUAAAGGGCUUCCCAGGCGACGAUCCGUAACUCGUCGGGGAGGAUGGUAAGUCACCCUGGAAGGGAGACACGGUCCAGACUCCUACGGGAGGCAGCAGUGGGGAAUGUUAGACAGUGGGGGAAAGCCUGAUCCAGCCAUGCCGCGUGUGUGAAGAAGGUCUUCGGAGUGUGAAGCAGUUUUAGUGGGGAGAAACGGCAGUAAGUAGAGACCUUGCUGUUUUGACGGUACCAACAGAAUAAGCACCGGCUAACUUCGUG